UCCCCCAUGGGCCCCCCCAACCUAGGGACCCAGGGUGGCUUUCCUCUCUGACCUUCCUUAUCCCACCAUCUUUGUUAUAUGAGAGCCUCAGGCGGCGCCUAGUCUCCUAGAGUCCUAAGAGCACUGAGAAAUGGUUCACUGCUGAAAUUCCGGCAUGAGGAAGAUGGAGGCAAAGAGUGCCAUGAAUCUGAGGCUAACCUAAGCUACAUAGUGAGUUCCAGAUCUGCGAGUUGGAGAGGUAGAGGCAAGAGCAGCAAGAGACUGAGGCCAGUCUCCACUACAUGAGACCCGGUGUCCAAAUAAGGAAGGGAGGGGGUAGAAAGGAAAGAAAAGGAGCUUGAAGAGAUUGAGUCCUCUAUGAGUCUUUGCCAGCUUGGAGACAAACUCAGCCUGGCCCGGUGACCCCUCUCGGUCUGGCAUAAGCCUUCCUGUGAACACAGCCCAUCAUCACAGACUCUCAGGAUUCUUCAUCAGCCAGCACUAUCAAUCCGCCUUCCUGCGCAGAUAAAAUGGAAGGAAAAAGUGGAUUGCAAAAGCUUUGGAAAAUUAGACGCCACGACUGUGAACGAUCAACAAGACUGCCAUACAAGGAGGAACUCCAUGGAGUUCCCCUGGGGGUGGACCAGCGCUCAGCUGAAGGUAAACAUCAUCUCGGCAUUGUUAGGAGGAUGGAUGUCCUGUAAGACUUCCAUCUUCAGUGUCCCCGAAUCUCAUAGAAGUGAUUCAAAGCACUCCGAGGGGAAUUAGCCACAUCACUGCACCUUAUGCACUGCCUGCCUGGAGGGGGACGGGAGCAGAGUUGCAAGGCUGGCAUACAAUUCUGUCACCACUUUGGGUUCAUGCUGGUCAGAAGACAACCUGAGCAAUGCCUAUCCAUCUUGAGAUGCAUAUCCCUGCAGCAGCAAUUCUGUUUCUAGAAAUUGCACAGACGGUUACGGGUCAGGCUGGUGCUGCAGCUCACAUCUGUAAAAUCUACUGAAUGUCCUUCAUCGGGAGAGGUCAGCAAAUCAUGGUGGCCAUUCUCUAUUGAUACCAGGCAAAAGCGAACA